rnacentral:tRNA from 1 species
GCCUUGUUAGCUCAGUCGGUUAGAGCGCGGAGCUCAUAACUCCAAGGUCGUUGGUUCAAGCCCAACACGAGGCACUA